UGUCUGAAGGAUCGCUCGGCUGCCCAUUCAGAACGCAGGGUGCGCACCGGAAGAUCGCUGCAGCAGCAGCAGCAGCAGCAGCACACGGGACCAAAAUGGCGUAGCGCGCAGUCCGCUGCUGCAGCAGCGCAGCGGGGCCAGGCUCACCGAACAUCCCAGAGCCUGGCCCGUCGUACUCCAACCGACGAGUAUGAUGGAGGUGGCUUUUAGUUUCAGUUCACUCGCUUCGAAACCUGCACGAGAUCAGCGGAGACGUGCCCUUCAUAUGUCAAAUCAAGAAGAGAAAGGAACAGUCCUGAAAGGAACUCAUGACCAGAAAAGAUCGUCAUGUCUUUGUUCUUCAAACUGCUCUCCAUCCCGAUAAGUUGACUUUCCUCCAGCGUUAUUUCAGGGAAGUGUUUGUUCAACAUACCAACUGUCACUGGUCUAUGAAAAUAUCAUCUCUGCACUUUGGAGACGACAACUGAAGUUGUUUUUAUCCAUGAAAGAACCAUAAACUCAUCAUGUGUCCAAAAAAGUAACACAAUUGUGCCACAGUAAAGAGCAUCAUCUGGUCAUAUUUGUUAUAAAUAAAUCAAGUGGAGUACUUAUAUGUUGCAGGUUGUGUUAAAGUGAAGUGAAAAAGGAAAUGGCGAAAGUGCACUUGCUUUGCAGGUAAAACAAAUGUACAUUUAAAAACGAAAUCAUGCAAGCAAGAUAAAGUAGCUUCAUCCAACAAUUUUAUUAUCUGCAGAUUAAGUGCCUAGACACAUCUCUUUUGAAAAGCUUCUGUCUCUUGCUUGUCUAUUUCCAUGGCUUAGCUUUAAACCUACAAGUAAAGCACUACUUGGUCAUUUAUUUAGUCUUAAAAUGGCUGAAAAUUUAAUUUCUGAGACAACAAACUGUAGACAGAUAGCUGUUCUCUUAAUUCAGAACUCAUAUUGGUGCUUUUGCAAAACCAUGAAUCAUGUUUUCUGUGUACUUGAGAAACCAAGACCGACAGUGUGGCACACUGACCUGAGCAUAAGCUUUAUAAAUUCCACAGUUAAACCUUUCUAGUGGGAGUGGGGUGCUAAUGAGAUGCAGGACAUAAUUAAUUAUAAUUAUUUUACUACCUCAGAACUUACCACAGCUCAGACCCACACUCCGAUCAACCGAUAUUCACAUGCUUUUCUCACGGUGAUGUAAAUAGAGUCAUUGUCUGUCAAAUGGUUUGGGAAUCAGUUGGAAGAGGAGUGAGCAUGUUUCUUUUCACUUUUUGUACAUUAUUAUAUUAAUAGGUUUUGGGAAUAUCACACAAAUCAUAUAGAGACCUUGAAGUUCACUGGUUUGACACUGGCGGCCAAAAGUUUGGAAUAAUUAAGUUUUGAAAGAAGUCUCUUCUGCUC